AACUCACGAAGUAUACCGAAGU
rnacentral:miRNA from 1 species